GGUUUGGUCGCCCAAUGUCUAUGUACUAUGUAUAGCAAGGCUAUUAGAUGGAUUUGGAAUUGGUCUAGCAGUUACUCUCGUCCCGCUCUACAUAUCUGAAACUGCCCCAGCAGAUAUAAGGGGAUCAUUAAAUACUCUUCCACAGUUCCUUGGUUCAGGCGGCAUGUUUUUAUCAUAUUGUAUGGUUUUUGGGAUGUCACUGAUGAACUCACCAAACUGGAGACUGAUGCUCGGUGUUCUUUCCAUUCCCUCUAUUAUCUUUUUUGCAUUAACGGUAUUUUACUUGCCUGAAUCUCCUCGAUGGCUUGUGAGUAAGGGCAGGAUGCUUGAGGCAAAGAAGGUUCUCCAGCAGUUACGUGGCACUGAAGACGUUUCUGGUUUGUUGCUUAUUACUUGCUUGCAAUAUUAUGUUUGUAUGUAGAGAUCCUGAUUCCCAAAUGCAUAUCAUCUGUCUCUUGUUUCAGUGGAUCCAACUCUUAAAGCAUUGUCUCAUGCACUGAAAUGUGCAUGCUAAAAUUCUUAUCAUAAAUUCAUGCAUGAUUCACUGAACUCGAUAAAGAUUCAAUAUAUUUUAGGACAAAAAGCUGCAUAUUAUCGUUAUGGGUAAAAGAUACUCGGAGUUGCCUUUUCUACUUCCUUUGGUUUCCAAUUUAAAGUUUAAUGUUCUUUCUUAUUUAGAGAAAUAGUUUUCGCUUGUAAAGAAGUUGUUUAGACAUUUGGUUAAAUUAUUACUAAUGCUUGUAGGAAAAUGCAUUACUUAUGGAGGAAUUAUGUUCUCAGACCUUUUCUAUUCAGUUGUAACUAUGACUAAUUUAUCAUGUGAAUCUUGCUAAUGCAUCAUGGUUUAUAGGUGAAAUGGCUUUGCUGGUUGAAGGUCUUGGAAUUGGGGGUGAAACAUCUAUAGAAGAGUACAUAAUAGGCCCCGCUGAUGAACUUGCUGACGAUCAGGAACCAGCUGACAAAGACAAAAUUAGGUUAUAUGGACCUGAGGAAGGCCUUUCCUGGGUUGCCAGACCUGUCACGGGACAGGGUUCCCUUAUUAGUCUUGUCUCUCGCCAAGGAAGCAUGGUAAACCAGGGUGUGCCUCUAAUGGACCCUCUCGUCACUCUGUUUGGUAGUGUCCAUGAAAAGUUCCCAGAGACUGCUAGUACCCGUAGCAUGCUUUUUCCUAACUUUGGGAGCAUGUUCAGCACAGCAGAUCCUCGGGUUAAAACUGAACAAUGGGAUGAAGAGAGCUUGCAGAGAGAAGGUGAGGGCUACGCAUCUGACGCUGCAGGGGGAGACUCAGAUGACAAUCUGCAUAGUCCAUUGAUUUCACGCCAGGCAACAAGUUUGGAAAAGGAUUUAGUGCCCCCUGCUUCCCAUGGCAGUGUUCUAAGCAUGAGGCGGCACAGCAGUCUCAUGCAAGGAACAGGGGAGACAGUUGGUAGCACAGGCAUUGGUGGUGGCUGGCAAUUGGCAUGGAAGUGGUCUGAGAAAGAAGGCGGGGAUGGAAAGAAGGAAGGAGGAUUUAAAAGGGUAUAUUUGCACCAGGAGGGAGGCCCAGGCUCCCGUCGUGGGUCCCUUUUGUCACUUCCUGGUGGUGAUGUUCCUGCAGAAGGUGAGUUUAUACAGGCAGCUGCUCUGGUCAGUCAGCCUGCCCUAUAUUCGAAGGAGCUUAUAGAUCAGCAUCCAGUUGGACCUGCAAUGGUUCAUCCAUCGGAAACAGCUUCAGAAGGACCAAUCUGGGCUGCUCUGUUUGAACCAGGGGUUAAGCAUGCAUUGUUCGUUGGAAUAGGAAUCCAGAUUCUUCAGCAGGUAGUAAAUAGUUAUAAUUUAUAAACAUUUAUAAAAUUCUCAUUUCUAUCUUAUCUGACAUUUUUUUCAUUGGGAUUGGCAAAAUGUGAUACUUUUUUCUAGCUAACUUUCUGAGAAUGACAAUCAUCGAGUUUAUUUGAUGUGAUUCAUGAUGUUUCCUGCCAGUCCUAGAGAUGUAAAAAAUGUCUGGCACAUAAAACGUCCAUUUUGUUAUGCAUUGUUCUUCAUUUGUAUCUGAAUCUAUAAUUUUUUAUUUAUGACAUUUUCCUAAUCCCUUCUCAGUUAGAAUAUCUCCCUUUUGUUCUCGGGGGAAACUAAUGACUAAAGUGUUCCUUAAAUUUUUUUCUUUGACCGGCAACUAAAGUGUUCCUUAAAUAAUUGUGCAGUUUUCUGGCAUAAAUGGGGUUCUGUACUACACUCCUCAAAUUCUUGAAGAUGCAGGUGUUGAAGUUCUUCUUGAAGACUUGGGUCUCAGUACAGAGUCUUCAUCCUUCCUCAUAAGUGCAUUCACAACUUUGUUGAUGCUUCCUUGUAUAGCCAUAGCCAUAAAGCUCAUGGAUAUCUCUGGUAGAAGGUGAUUAAUUCUUCUGUACUUUUAUUUAUUUUUAAUCUGACCAGAAACUCUUCAGUUAGGGUUGCUCAUAUCCAAGGUCUUAUCUUUUAACUAUAACUUUUAACAAAUUGCUGUGGCAUUACACGAAAAGCUGGUUUGGCUGUCAGCAAAUGACAGUCUGCGUUAAGCUGCCUUAUGUUUUAAGAUAGUGGUCCUAUGCGGCCUUCUUGAAUUAAUUUCUAUUUUAUAAAAUGUUAAACAUUUGUAAGAUGUGAGGCUAAGGCUAUCUCAUGAAAGGAAGUAGCGUAAUAGUUUUGCGGUCGGAUGAUUCUUGACAAUCUGCUAAAAUUAAGGCUCGCUCCUUAAGAGCUCAAUAACUUAAAAGGUUCUUUCUGUUGGCUUAAUUCCUUUUCAUUUUUUUUUGGGUGCACUGUCCUAAAGAUUUAAUUUGGAACUCUGGCUUAUUUUUUGUUUUAGAGGAAGAACUUUAAGUUUAAAUCUUAAUUAAACAUUCCUUAUUGCAGGACGCUGCUACUGGCUACAAUUCCUGUGUUGGUAGUGACACUCAUCAUCCUAAUCAUUGCCAACCUUGUGACCUUGGGUACAGUUCUUCAUGCGGCUUUAUCAGUCAUUUGUGUUAUCGUCUAUUUCUGCUGCUUUGUCAUGGCCUAUGGGCCAAUUCCAAAUAUCCUCUGCUCAGAGAUCUUUCCGACAAGGGUACGUGGCCUCUGCAUUGCCAUCUGCGCCCUAGUGUACUGGAUUGGGGACAUUAUCGUCACCUACACACUACCUGUGCUGCUUGAUUCAAUAGGCCUAGCUGGUAUCUUUGGUAUUUAUGCUGUGGUUUGU
rnacentral:lncRNA from 1 species